rnacentral:lncRNA from 1 species
AUGCAGGAGAAAACCACCAAAGCAGUGCACACACUCUUCCAGAAGAAGGAGCAAAAGAAGGGGUCUGAAGCCAAAGAGGCAGACACUAAUUCCAAAGUGGCCGCCAAUGCUAAAGCCGGUCUUGUUAAAACUCAGUCAAAACAAGAAGCUUCUGUUAAAAAAACAACUACUAAAGACUCUUCAAUUGCCACAAAGACCAGUCGCCCAACUGUUGCUCAGGUUCUAUUGAAAAACGAUGGAAGAAAGCAGGUAGAGGCACGCAAAGGAAAAACAACGGUCCUGACCUCUAAAAAGGGCGUCCAAAAAACUGACCUCAAGUUGGUGAAGGAAGGAACUGCCGGUAAAACAUAUCCUAAAUCUGACCAUCUUAAAGAUCAACCUCACACCAAUGUAACCCAGAGUAACGUAAAGAAUGGCACGGCUAAGAUUGUGACUGUUCUGACCAAGGUCAUGGGAACAAACAAAACCAGAGCAGGGAAGGAGAGCUUGGAGCAGUCCACCCUGGCUGAGAAGAAUGGUACUCAAUCAUCUGGACACAAGAGAAUCAAGAAGGUCAAAGCAGAGACUACAACCGUACAAUCUGUUGGCAACAGAGUCACUGAAGCUGGCAACACUGGAAGAGAGAAAGUUAUACAGAAGAGUCAGUAUUUAGUGAACACAACUUUUGCAGGAACUUCAGGUGAGGCUCGAGUUCUGCAGGACAAAACAACUACCCAUGGCUCUGUUAGUGCAAAGAAGAUGGGAGGAUCAGGAUUAGGUUCUGUAAAGGUUGUGAACAUCUCCUCCUACAGCUUCACUGUCACAUGGUCAUCACCACAAGGGAUGUUCAAGAACUUCACCGUGAUCAGAAGAGAGCUGAAGGCAGAGGGUGACGAUGACGACCAUGAGGAGUUUGAAGAGGAAGCCCUAGAAGGAGACAAGACUUCCACAGCAAAGAAUGUAACUGAAGUCCAGGUACAGAGUAAGAGCACCAACACAACUGCUGCCGCCGGUAAAGCUGGAUCUAAAAGCAAAGCUGAAACCAAGAGGAUCUCCAUGGUGGUCCCUGGCAGUGUACGUUCUGUGGAGUUCAGUAACCUUAAGGCAAACACUGGCUACGUCCUGCAUGUAUAUGGCUCUGCAGCUGACAGAAGAUCGAAGAUUCACAGAGUGACGGCAGUUACAGGUCCCGAGCCAGCCACGGAGAUGGUUUUCAGCAAUGUAACAGAGUCUUCUCUCACCGUUUCCUGGUCCAAACCAAAGACAACCUUCUCUGGCUUCAGGGUCAUGUACACCAACAUUGUCACAGGUCAGGGCAGGUCAUAG